GAGAUUCGGGGAGCUUUGUUUGAGAUGGGGUCCACAAAAGCACCAGUGGAAGAUGUAUUUCCAACCCCUUUUUACCAAAGAUGCUGGGAUAUCAUUGGGAGUGAUAUUGUUUCCUUUUGCCUAAAUCUUCUAAAUGGAAAGAUGGAGGUUAGUUCUAUUAAUGCAACUCAGAUUAUGUAACACCCCUAUCCCGUAACCGUCGCCAGAAUAGGUAAGGGGCAUUACCGGACUUGUAACUCAUGUUAGAACAGUAAAAUUUUGAACUUUUUCUUGAAAUAAAGAUCGUUCGUUUAAAUAAGUACUAAGCACAACCAGAGGUAAAAUUUAAACUUCACUAAGUAAACAUUCAAAAGAUGCCAUUUUCGCAUGGCUUAUAUACAUUAACCAAAGAUAUUCUUCCGCCACUAGUCUAUUCUAUACAUGCCAUAAGAUAAUCCAAAACGUAGCAGUACCAAACAAUGGAUAGUGAUAGUGUGACUAGUUGCUGAUGAUCCCCGAGCUUGUAGCUUCCAAAUGAGAUCUAUAAAACAGAGCAAACAGAGUAAACGGAGUAAGCAUUACAAUGCUUAGUAAGUUUUAAGCAGUGUCAACAGAUAACAAUCAAAUUAUAACAUAGUUGUUCGUAUAGUUUAUUUCACUCUUCCUUCGGGCAUACCAUCCCUUUUUCCGAAUAUGCACAUCUCAUCAUAUACAAUAGGCAGAUAAACUUUCAUAUAAAAGUGAGCUCAUGUGACAUAGAUAUAUCGUAUGAUUUCACAUAACCUCUCACACUGAUCCGAUGUCACAUAAUCAUAGGAAUAGUCUCAUAGAUUGCUCUCUAUGCAUCACAUAACUACCUUAUGAUUUAGUGCAAAUCAAGCUCACAUAUAAACUUGGAGUACAUACUUGUUUAACCUUUCGCAUUGAAUAUAUUUAUAAGCAAUUCUUAUUACGAAGUCUUACCCGGACAUAAUCUCCACACGAAAUUAUCGGGUCUUACCCGGACAAAAUCCCCACACGUAGUCAUCGGGUCUUUAGAGCUCAGAUAUAGUACGAGCACGAAGCUUACGGACAUUAAUCAGUGAUAAUAUUCUCGCAUAAAGCCUGCGGGGUUUUAACCCGGAUAUAGUGCUGACACAAAUGCCCUUCGGGACGUAUCACAUUUAUACACUUUCACAUCCAUCACGUUGGCCACUCGGCCCUGUCACAUAUAUACACUUUCACAUUCAUCACAUCGGCCAUUAGGCCUUAUCACAUAUAUACACUUUCACAUUCAUCACAUCGGCCAUUAGGCCUUAUCACAUAUAUACACUUUCACAUUCAUCACAUCGGCCAUUAGGCCUUAUCACAUAUAUAUACACUUUCACAUUCAUCACAUCGGCCAUUAGGCCUUAUCACAUAUAUACACUUUCACAUUACCAACCCUUUUAUUCAUACACAAAGAUCAACUUAGCCAAAGGCCGGUAGCUCAUUUAUCAACUGAGCGAAUACUUAUUUGUAAGGGCUCAACUAAUUCAAAGCACAUACGAAACAUACCUCAAUGUUUGGAUGUUUCAAGCGUAUUAACUAAAAUUUUUACAGCAAGAUCAUUCAUUCCCAAAUCACAUACCUUCGGAAUUUAACCGGAUAUAGCUACUCGUUCAAAUGCCUUUGGGACAUAGCCCGGUUAUAGUAACUCGCACAAAUUCCUUCGGGACUUAACCCGGAUUUAGUAACUAGCACAAAUGCCUUCGGGCUUAGCCCGGAAUUAGUAUCUCGCACAAAUGCCUUCGGAUCUUAGUCCGGAUUUAGUAUCUCGCACAAAUGCCUUCGGAUCUUAGUCCGGAUAUGGUCACUUAGCACAAAGCCUUCGGGACUUAGCCCAGACAUCAUUCAAAUAACCAUGCACAUUUAACAAUAAAUCAUGGCACAUUCGUAUUUCAUUUUCGUUAGCAAAACUCAAACACAAGACACUUAUCAUUCUUGCAAUUUCGGCUCAAUAGCCACACACAAAGAGCAUGAUUUUGAUUUGCUUAAAACAUGAUCUAAUCAAAUCAUAAUUUAAGCUCUAUUACUCAAGAACUUACAAUAUCACGAUUUAGAAUUCAAGUAUGGGUUUAAUCAAUAGCUUGUGAGCAACUAAAACAAGUUUAUCAAGGUUCACAACAUAAUCUCAAAUUCAGCACAAGCUGUUUUUCCUGAGCAAUAGUCACUAAAUUAUUUAUAACUAGAGCUAAAAAACUCCAAAUCACUUUCCGUUAAUUUUUCCUGAAUAUAGACUCGUAUAUCUUCCACCCAUAAAAUUUCCAGAAUUUUAGGUUUGGCCAAUCAAUACCAGAUUUUUCUUAAAGUUUCCCCUGUUUCACUGUUUGACUAAUCUAACCACUCUUCACUACGAAUCAAAUUUCUCAUUUUACAGAAUUCAAAAUGUGUUUUAUUUGAUUCCAUUUGAAACUAGACUCAUUAAUGAGUCUAAGCAUAUAAAUUUUAUCUUAUAAACAUUUUUUUACAAUUUAUAAUGAUUUUCUAAAAACAGAACAGGGGAUUUCGGAGUCAUUCUGACACCGUCUCACACAACUUUAAAUAUCUCAUUAUCGGAAAUUCCUUUGCUUACACGGUUUCUUUUAUAAGAAACUAGACUCAUUAAGCUUUAAUUUCAUGUCUCAUUCAGCCUCUAAUUCAAGUCCAUAAAUUUAUGGUGAUUUUCUAAAGUCACGUUACUGCUGCUGUCCGAAGCAGACUAUUUCAAAUUACCCUUAAAUUCCCAAGCUCAAACACUUAAGAACUUACCAUUUGAGCUUAGAACAUAUCAUGGCCACAUCAUAUCUUAUUAAAUCAACUCAUCAUGUCCUAUUAUAAUUGAAUUUACUCAACGUUUAAACACUUAAAACUUACCUUGGAUGUGGUCGAACAAUUUCGGCAGCUAUUCGAUCACUUCUUCCCUUCCCUUAUCCAACUUUGGUCCUCUAAGCUCUUGAGCUUAAUUUAACAAAUAAAUUGAUUUAAUCAUUUGAGCAUCAAAAGAGGAACUCAAGGUACUUAGCCCAUAUAUACAUACAUUAGACAUUAAAGUCACAUACAUAUGAAAUCAUAAAUCAAUUCAACAUAUUAGCCCACACUCUCUUUUAGCCGAUUGUCUAAGCCAAGAUAAAAGCAUCAAUAUGCUUGCCUCUAGCCGAAUACAUGCAACACCAAGCAAGAAUGAUGCAUCCAUGGCCGAGUAUCAUCUUCAUAACUUUACAAAAACAUUUGCCAUGAGCUAGCUUCUAUACUUGGUGGCCACUCCAAAUAUACAAAGAUUUUCAAUGAUAGAGCAUUAACAUACCUUAAUACAUCAAAAUAAUUAAAUUCUUCCCAUGGCACACUAAAACCGAAUAUGUCUUAUUCAAAUAUAAAUUCUCAUAUUUCAUUUAUUUAACCAUUUAACCCUCCUAUCAAAUAAUUUUCACAAACUAAUCUUAAACUCAAAAUCACAUAAAAUCGUAACACAAAAGGCAUUCAUCUAACACUUGAUUUCUAAAUUCUAACAUCAAACUCAAAUUUCUUAGCUCAUCAACUCAUGGCCGAACAUCAAUUAUUCACCAAAACAAAAAUUAACUCAUGGGUUUUAGAGAAAAUUAAGUAAGGAAUUCAAUGAUACUAAAAAUUAACAAAAACAACCUGAAUUUCACCUUGAAUUUUUGCUUCCAAAUGGCCGAAACUUCAAAGCCACAAAUUUUAUUUUCUUUCUCCUUUGUUCGGCCUCCAAGAUGAACUACAUGCAUGUUCUUUUUUUCUUUUUUUUUAUGCCCCAUACCGUCCAUAUCAAUUGUCUAAGGUUAAAUAUCAUCACAAAUACUCCAACUUACAAAAACAACUUCAAUUCGGCCCUGAAGAUACAAACAUGCAUGGCUUUCCAUUUUAUGUUUUAUAAUACUUAUUUUUAUGUUUUAUAAUACUUAUAAAAAUAAUUAUCUCACAAAUAACUUUAAAAUAAACAUAUAAAGACAUCAUGCAUUAAGCCAUUACCAUCCAUAUAUUUAUUAAUGAUAUAAUUGCCAUUCAAAACCUCAAUAUUCUAAAGACAUAACACUUUAACAUUUUCAUGAUAGCAUGCUUAUUAAUCAAUUGAUGCAUUUUAAUCCUUUUUAAUGACAUAAAGAAAGAAAGAAAAAUAUUUACCAAGAGUUUCAAACUACUUGGCCGAAUAUCAAACCUCCAAACAACCAAAAAAUUUAACUCAUGGAAUGGAUAGAAUUUGAACAAAUCACCAAAAUUAUAUAUAAAUUUUCAAGAAUUUCAAAGUACUUACCUCUUUCUAAAUAUUCUCCAAGCCGAAAUCAUACAAAGAAAUUUUUUUCUUCCUUCUAAUCUCAAGUUACGGCAAUGGUAGAGUGAGGAUGAACCAACUUUGUUUUUAUCACCCAUUUCUUUUAAUAUAAGUUCAUAUUUCAUAUUAUUUAUUCAUUUAACAUUUAAUUUAUUAAUAUAAAAGGCAUAUAUUUUGUAUCCCAUGCUCCUUAUUUUAUCAUACUUCCCAUGAAACACUAACUUAACAUGUUUAUGACAUGUUCUUGCCCAUCACACUUGGUCUACCAUACUUGUCAUGGCCGGCCACUACUAAUUAGGGGGGAAAUUGACAUGCAAGUCCCCCCUUUUUAUUUCAUGCACUAAUAGAUCCUUAUGCUUUGACCUAUCACAUUUCAAAAUUUUCUCACAUAAGUCCUAUUUGAUAAAAUUCACUUACUAUUAACAAAAUUCAAACAUGAAAUUUUCACACAUGCAUAUGUACAUAUAAUGAGCAUCAACUAUGACGGUUAAUUAUCUUUAUGACUCGGUUUAGUGGUCCCGAAACCACUUUCCGACUAGGGUCACUUUAGGGGUGUCACAGAUUAUGCUUAUUCCAAAGAUUAUUAAUCCUUCUAAUCUGACUCAUUUUCGGCCAAUUAGUCUCUGUAAUGUUAUUUAUAAACUUGUGGCAAAGGUGAUUGCAAAUAGAUUUAGAGGAGUCAUUGAUAAAUGUAUUGAUGAAGCACAUAAUGCAUUUGUGCUAAGGAAACUCAUAACAGAUAAUGCACUAGUGGCCUAUGAAGUUUUACAUUCAAUGAAACAGAAGAGAGGGGGGAAGAAGGGAUUUAUGGCCAUCAAGUUAGAUAUGAGUAAGGCCUACGACAAAGUAGAAUGGAAUUUUAUUCAAGAAAUUAUGAGUAGAAUGGGUUUUUCUCAAAAAUGGAUUGAAUCUAUUAUGAAAUGUAUCUUUAGUGUUUCUUAUUCAGUAGUGGUUAAUGGUAACAAAAGAGAUAUAUUCUAUCCAACAAGGGGACUUAGACAAGGAGAUCCAUUAAGCCCUUUUUUAUUUCUGAUAUGUGGAGAGGGUCUAUCAGGUCUAAUGCGAAUGGCUAUUAGCGAAGGAGUUAUAAAAGGUGUUAAAGCUAGUAGAAGUGGCCCCAGGGUGUCUCAUUUACUAUUUGCUGAUGACUGCAUAAUGUUUUAAGAAGCAACAAGAAGGGGAGUAAGAGCAAUCAAGCAGAUUUUGCGUGAAUAUAAAAAUAGUUCAGGUCAGUUCGUAAACUUUGAAAAAUCAGCAGUAUUUUUUAGCAACAACAUAUCUGUGGAAGUUAGGCAAAUAGUGAUCACCCAAUUGGGAAUCCACAGCUCCAAUGAAUUAGAAAGGUAUUUAGGACUGCCAAGUUUAGUUGGGAAAAGGAAAAAAGAAUCUUUUCAAGCAUUUAAGGACAAAAUGAAACAGCGGAUUGAUAAUUGGUGUAUGAGAUUACUGUCUCAAGGUGGAAAGGAAAUAUUUAUUAAAUCAGUUUUACAAGUGAUACCGACUUACUCAAUGGCUUAUUUUUUUAUUACUGAAGACAUUAUGUGAUGAAAUGGAAGGCAUUGUAGCCAAGUUUUGGUGGCAAAAGGGACGUGGAAAGAAAGGAAUUCAUUGGUGUUUAUGGAGAAAUAUGUGUUCUUUAAAAGAAGUUGGAGGUAUGGGUUUCCGAAUUUUUUGCCAAUUUAAUGUUGCGUUAUUAGCCAAGCAGGGCUGGAGCCUUAUUAAUAAUCCGAGUUCCUUAUUAGCCAGAGUUUUUAAAGCCAAAUAUUAUCCAUAAUCAAAUUUUUUAAACGCAUAGUUGGGUUAGUUACCUUCAUAUACCUAGAAGAGCAUUUAGGCAGCACGAGGGCUCAUUCAGGAUGGGUUGUGUUGGAAAGUCAGUCGAGGGACCGAGAUUGAUGUCUGGACUGAUUGCUGCAUUCCUGGAUGUGAAGCCAUUGGUAGACAAGGUAGAGAGACAAACAGUGAUGUCCUAUUAGUUUCGGAUUUAAUCAAUAAUACUAGUAGGACUUGGAAGCGAGACCUGAUCAAUAAUACCUUUCAAUCAGGCAUAGCGCAAAAAAUUUUGAAGAUUCCUUUGGCAGAGUCAGAACAUGUUGACUUUCAGGUGUGGAAAGAGGAACCUUCAAGGGAGUUCUCAGUAAGAAGCGCCUAUAAACUAUUACAUCAUUCUAGCUCGAAUCCUAAUAUUUAUCCAUUACAACCCAAAAUAAGAAACUUCUAUAGAAAAUUGUGGGAUUUACAGCUACCGGGUAAAAUAAAGAUACUAGUUUAGCGAAUUUCCUGGAACUACAUCCCUUCCCUAAUAAAUCUAAGAUCCAAGAAAGUAAUAGAGAAUGCUCUGUGCCCUCGGUGCAGACUCAAAGAGGAAGACAGUAACCAUAUCUUUAGAUUUUGUCCUGCAAUCAGUGAAAUAUGGAAUCUCAUUAAUCUCUCUUAGACCAUUGAUCAUGAUAAUCAAAGUUUCUAGAAGUGGCUUAUCUGGGUUUUUGAAAGGAGUACAAUGGAGCAAUGUCGGUCCUUUUGUUGUGCGCUAUGGUGCGUUUGGAGUUCCCGAAAUCAGCUUGUACAUGAAAAGAAAAUCAUACCAGUUAGGGAUUUAGCAAGGAAAGUCAGCAGUUACAUAGCAGAACUGGAAGGGAUCCGAAUGAAAACAUUUACCUCUUCUUCCAAAAGGGACAACAGUUAUACUAGGGCGACGGAGGGUACCACAGUUCAGUUUGAUGCCGUUUUUGACAAAAGAAAUGAUAGAUCUGCCUCAGGUAUAGUCGUUCGAGACUAGACAGGAGCUUUAAAAGCCUCAAAGUCAGUUAUACAUGAGGAUACCCCGACCCCGUUCGCAGCAGAAGCCCUCGCAGGAUUAGAUGCCAUUAAGUUAGUAAUAGAAAUGAGGUUAACAACAGUAACAAUAGAGAGGGACUCGAGAAUAGUCAUUCAAAAAUGUCAAUCGACAGAAAUUGAUAAGUCGGUCCUUGGGGUGAUUAUUUAUGACAUACAGACCAGAAAAUCCAGGGGUUCAAGACGUUACUUUCAAGUUUAUCCAUAGAACGAAUAACAUUCAAGCCCAUAAUCUAGCAAAAAAAGGGUUGGAGAGAAGGGAGGACUCAUACCUGGGAGGGAAGACGACAAUUCAUAGAGUUGCAGACUCAGAGGGAAGAUGGAGAGAAUCGCCAGAUUGAAGAUGAAUGGACAAGGAGUAGGGUGCAGUUAAGGGUAGCAAGGAAUUGAUAUCUUAGGGAACGACUAUCUGCAAAGGCAUGGCUGUUGGGACGUGAAAAGACGAGUAAAGAAUUAAAUGGCCAGGCUGUUAGAUGUGACUGGGAGAUUUUCUGUUGAUUUCCUUUUGUUUUUCUAUUUUUUUAUUCUUUAUUGUCUUUUAUCAUCAUUUCUGAGAAACGGGCUAGCUAUUAAGGAAGCCCAACUUAGUUUGUUUUGUUUGUUUGGCAGUCGGACUUAAGCCCAAAUGUUAAUUUGGGUAUUGGUUUUAUUCUAUUUGUAAAGAGCCC
rnacentral:lncRNA from 1 species